rnacentral:rRNA from 1 species
AUUGAACGCUGGCGGCAGGCUUAACACAUGCAAGUCGAGCGGAGAGAGGUAGCUUGCUACUGAUCUUAGCGGCGGACGGGUGAGUAAUGCUUAGGAAUCUGCCUAUUAGUGGGGGACAACAUUUCGAAAGGAAUGCUAAUACCGCAUACGUCCUACGGGAGAAAGCAGGGGAUCUUCGGACCUUGCGCUAAUAGAUGAGCCUAAGUCGGAUUAGCUAGUUGGUGGGGUAAAGGCCUACCAAGGCGACGAUCUGUAGCGGGUCUGAGAGGAUGAUCCGCCACACGGGGACUUAGACACGGCCCAGACUCCUACGGGAGGCAGCAGUGGGGAAUAUUGGACAAUGGGCGGAAGCCUGAUCCAGCCAUGCCGCGUGUGUGAAGAAGGCCUUAUGGUUGUAAAGCACUUUAAGCGAGGAGGUGGCUACUUUAGUUAAUACCUAGAGAUAGUGGACGUUACUCGCAGAAUAAGCACCGGCUAACUCUGUGCCAGCCGCCGCAGUAACAC